rnacentral:rRNA from 1 species
AACGAACGCUGGCGGCAGGCCUAACACAUGCCAGUCGAGCGGACCCUUCGGGGUUAGCGGCGGACGGGUGAGUAACGCGUGGGAAUAUGCCCUUCUCUACGGAAUAGUCCUGGGAAACUGGGGGUAAUACCGUAUACGCCCUUUGGGGGAAAGAUUUAUCGGGGAAGGAUUAGCCCGCGUUGGAUUAGGUAGUUGGUGGGGUAAUGGCCUACCAAGCCGACGAUCCAUAGCUGGUUUGAGAGGAUGAUCAGCCACACUGGGACUGAGACACGGCCCAGACUCCUACGGAAGGCAGCAGUGGGGAAUCUUAGACAAUGGGGGCAACCCUGAUCUAGCCAUGCCGCGUGAGUGAUGAAGGCCUUAGGGUUGUAAAGCUCUUUCAGCUGGGAAGAUAAGGACGGUACCAGCAGAAGAAGCCCCGGCGAACUCCGU